UAGGGAAUCUUCGGCAAUGGGGGCAACCCUGACCGAGCAACGCCGCGUGAGUGAAGAAGGUUUUCGGAUCGUAAAGCUCUGUUGUAAGUCAAGAACGGGUGUGAGAGUGGAAAGUUCACACUGUGACGGUAGCUUACCAGAAAGGGACGGCUAACUACGUGCCAGCAGCCGCGGUAAUACGUAGGUCCCGAGCGUUGUCCGGAUUUAUUGGGCGUAAAGCGAGCGCAGGCGGUUUGAUAAGUCUGAAGUUAAAGGCUGUGGCUCAACCAUAGUUCGCUUUGGAAACUGUCAAACUUGAGUGCAGAAGGGGAGAGUGGAAUUCCAUGUGUAGCGGUGAAAUGCGUAGAUAUAUGGAGGAACACCGGUGGCGAAAGCGGCUCUCUGGUCUGUAACUGACGCUGAGGCUCGAAAGCGUGGGGAGCGAACAGGAUUAGAUACCCUGGUAGUCCACGCCGUAAACGAUGAGUGCUAGGUGUUGGAUCCUUUCCGGGAUUCAGUGCCGCAGCUAAAC
rnacentral:rRNA from 1 species